UACGGGGGGAGCAAGCGUUGUUCGGAUUUACUGGGCGUAAAGGGCGCGUAGGCGGCCACCGCAAGUCAGUUGGGAAAUCUCUGGGCUUAACCCAGAACGGUCAGCUGAUACUGCGGGGCUAGAGUGCAGAAGGGGCAACUGGAAUUCUCGGUGUAGCGGUGAAAUGCGUAGAUAUCGAGAGGAACACCUGCGGCGAAGGCGGGUUGCUGGGCUGACACUGACGCUGACAGCGCGAAAGCUAGGGGAGCGAACAGG
rnacentral:rRNA from 1 species